UACGUAGGGUGCAAGCGUUGUCCGGAAUUAUUGGGGCGUAAAGAGCUCGUAGGCGGUUUGUUGCGUCGGCUGUGAAAUCCCGAGGCUCAACCUCGGGUCUGCAGUCGAUACGAGCAAACUAGAGUGUUGCAGGGGAGACUGGAAUUCCUGGUGUAGCGGUGAAAUGCGCAGAGUAUCCAGGAGGAACACCGGUGGCGAAGGCGGGUCUCUGGGCAACAACUGACGCUGGAGGAGCGAAAGCGUGGGGAGCGAACAGG
rnacentral:rRNA from 1 species